rnacentral:lncRNA from 1 species
AUGGAUAGGAGCAACCCUGUAAAACCAGCCUUAGACUAUUUUUCAAACAGGCUGGUGAAUUACCAGAUCUCCGUCAAGUGCAGUAACCAGUUCAAGUUGGAAGUGUGUCUUUUGAAUGCAGAAAACAAAGUCGUGGACAACCAGGCUGGGACCCAGGGCCAGCUGAAGGUGCUGGGUGCCAACCUCUGGUGGCCGUACCUGAUGCACGAACACCCCGCCUCCCUGUACUCGUGGGAGGAUGGUGAUUGCUCACACCAAAGCCUUGGACCCCUCCCAGCCUGUGACCUUUGUGACCAACUCCACCUACGCAGCAGACAAGGGGGCUCUGUAUGUGGAUGUGAUCCGUGUGAACAGCUACUACUCUUGGUAUCGCAACUACGGGCACCUGGAGUUGAUUCAGCUGCAGCUGGCCGCCCAGUUUGAGAAUUGGUGUAAGACAUCACAAUCCCAUUAUUCAGAGCGCGUAUGGAGUGGAAACGCUUGUAAGGCUUCACCAGGAUCCACCUCUGAUGUUCAGUGAAGAGGACCGGAAAAGUCUGCUAGAGCAGUACCAUCUGGGUCUGGAUCAAAAACGCAGAAAAUACGUGGUUGGAGAGCUCAUCUGGAAUUUUGCCGAUUUCAUGACUAACCAGU